rnacentral:lncRNA from 1 species
CAGGACAAAUAUUCAGAGCCAUCAUCUCCCUGGUGGAGGGGAGCAAGAGGAGACCUCAGGGGAACCAUGAUAAUUGCUGUGAGUGGACUGGCCUGGGACUGCCCCAAAGCUGAGCUCAUGAACCUUCUGAUCAAAUGGCCCAGGAAGGGAUUUGUCUAUUCCCCAGACUUCGUCCUGAAACUUGCUCUUGAGAGAACAGAGGAUGUAAUCAGCCACCAGCAGUGCUCUGCCAGGUGCCCUGGCCCCACGCAAGUUGUCUGGACCUAUUUGGGAGUUUGUCUAAUCCUUCCCGGCACCAAGAGGAAAUGGGAGAGCCUGAAGAAGGUGGAUUAAGCGUUCCCAGCUGCUGACAUGCUGCUGACUGUGGCAGAUAAGAAGGGAUGAGUGGCAUGUGCUGAAUGCAAGCUCCAAUAUUACUUGACUACAUUCAGAUGGCUGGUGUUCAGGGUACUUGAAGUUAUUCAGACCCAUCCGCCCUGUUUAGGAAGUCUGAUGUGUGUUUGCAGACAUGUGUGAGGAGCCAAGGGUGCAGCAGAGCCAGUAUGAUGGCUCAUAUUUGCUUAGCUCACACAUUGCCACGCUGGUUCCAAGCACACGGUCCCUGGACACACUCCCUCCUCCUUUUCAUAACUGUUACAGAGAGUGAAAGGGGCCUGUGUGCUAGUAAUCCAGGCAACUCUCUGACCAUCUAAAAGAUUAGGAAACAAAAAGAAGCAAGAAGGAACCAAAUCUGGAUUGUAAUGUGGAUGCCUAAUGAUUUCCCACUGAAACAUUUACAAAAUUGCCUGUCUGAUGAGAGGAAUGAGGAGGAGCAUUGUCGUGGUGAAGGACUCUGAUGAAGCUUUUCCAGGUGCAUUGAAGAUUCUGACUACUGAAAACAGAAAAUACAAAAAGAUUAAUGGGCCUGUUGCCAGAGGAUUCACUGCCGACAGACAUGAGCUGCCUGUUGCUGUUUAGUAUCUCUGCAUCUUCCUGAAGGCUGAGUUUUAUUAUUUGACUCCUCAUAUCCCUUUAAUCAAUAGGCUGCACAUAAAAUAAAAUCUACUGAAUCUCAGCUGAGGCUCUAGCAUGAUGCUUUCUGAGAUAUUUCAGAAUAUUUUUCCAAGUUUAUUUACAAGAUGAGUAUUUAUAUUCCAUUUUUUGGACAUAUUCAUUUGUUUUUGUUUUUGUCUCAGGAAGACAAGAGAAGGUAUUUAUAAGCUGUCAGUCUCACCUCACAAGGUCAGAACUGAAAGCUCUGUGUAGAAAAAUCCAAGUGCAGGAUUCAAAUAUGUUGUAUUGCUGUUGCUGACUUAUGACUGUGCCAUGUCAGAUGGUUUCAGCAACCUUGAGAGAUUAAGACCAUGGAUUCGUGUUCCAUGUAAUUUCAUGAGUUUUGUUCUGUCCCAUGGCUUCAGAUCAUGGUCCUAGCUCUAACCAGCUAUCUUGUAGAUGUAUGUCAUGUGUUGUAAGAAGCAUUUGCUUUGACCUGAAGCUUGGCAUUGAGUUCUUGUUACCUGUGAAUGGACCUUCUUCCCCAUCUUGGACCUAUCAAUGCUGAGCAUGUUCUGAACCACAGCUGGAAAGGCUAAGUCUCUUGGCACAAGAAGUCUUGUCUACCUGGUUGAACCCUGACUGUCAGAUGGCAUGCCUAAGCUCAAUGGCUUUCCAUCAUCUUACUGAGCAGGUCUAAUGUCAGGCCCUAAACCUUCCCCCAACGGAAGGUUUGAUGUCAUGAGCCUGGCCAGCCUAUCCUGAGCUACAACCAUGGAUAGCACCUCCUGGAAUGUUUGGCACUAUUUGGAAGAGGUCAAACAAGUAGAUAUAGAUACAUUUCAAAUAAGAAAACUGUCAGGGAACCAAAGAGCUACCCAAAAGAUGGACUUUGAAUUUUCCCUCUGCUGGAAUUCAUUGAGAGAUAAUACAGAUGAAAACAAAUAGGCUUUUUUAUUUAAAUAAAAAUAGUGAGGUGGGACAUGCCCUAGAUAUUAAAAUAUACCAGUAAGCUGAAAUAAGUUAGUUAGUACUAAGGUACAAUUGCAAAAAUGGACAGACACACCAAGAAGAGACAACCUUGAUAUAGACUUUGAUAUUUAUAAUCUAUCUAUAAUAAAGGAGGAAUUACAAAGUCAAUAAAUGGAGUUGGAAAUUUUAGUAUUUUAGGAAAAAAGAAUUGACUUAGAUAUUCCUCCCAGAGUAUUUUACAAAAUAAUUUCCAAAUGGAUAAGAUGGACACGAGAGUUAUGUGUACAAAAUGAAACUUAAAACAUCACAAGGAAUUGUAGAAAGAUUUCUAUCUAACCUCUACAUGGUAAAGGACUAUUUAAAUUAAACAUAAAAACAAUGGGGUAAGAUCAAAUAGAUUUAACUAAUAAAAAUGUAAA